CUCCUGAUUUGAGCUUUGUUUGCCUUCAUAGAAGGCAAGAAAUUCGUUGAGGAAUGUCGGAUUCUUUUUUCGGCGUAUCCCCAGAAAGCCUCUAACCUUUUUGUUGUUUUUUUUUAUCAAGUCUUAUUUUUUGUUGUCGUUCCGCUUCUUUUUUCUUGUCUUUUCCCAUAGCUUUUUGAUUUCUUGUUGCUGUCGACUUGUUGUU